UAACGUGAUGAUAAACAUACAGACCUGUUCUGCAAGAUUGGGUCCGCCCUUUCUGCUGUAGACAACAUGUAUUGCCUAUUUUUACUGAAA
rnacentral:snoRNA from 1 species